rfam:Ailuropoda melanoleuca scaffold582_175, whole genome shotgun sequence.
ACCUGGCUGGCUCAGUCCGUAGAGCGUAUGACUCUUGAUCUCAGGGUCGUGAGUUCAAGCCCCAUGUUGGGUG